rnacentral:rRNA from 1 species
UGAGGAAUAUUGGUCAAUGGGCGAGAGCCUGAACCAGCCAAGUAGCGUGCAGGAUGACGGCCCUAUGGGUUGUAAACUGCUUUUAUGUGGGGAUAAAGUGCGUGACGUGUCAUGCAUUGCAGGUACCACAUGAAUAAGGACCGGCUAAUUCCGUGCCAGCAGCCGCGGUAAUACGGAAGGUCCGGGCGUUAUCCGGAUUUAUUGGGCGUAAAGCGCGCGCAGGUGGUUUAGAAAGUCUGAUGUGAAAGCCCACGGCUCAACCGUGGAGGGUCAUUGGAAACUAAUAAACUUGAGUGCAGGAGAGAAAAGUGGAAUUCCUAGUGUAGCGGUGAAAUGCGUAGAGAUUAGGAGGAACACCGGUGGCGAAAGCGGCUUUUUGGCCUGCAACUGACACUGAGGCGCGAAAGCGUGGGGAGCAAACAGG